rnacentral:rRNA from 1 species
AACAGGAUUAGAUACCCUGGUAGUCCAUGCCGUAAACGAUGAGUGCUAAGUGUUGGAGGGUUUCCGCCCUUCAGUGCUGCAGCUAACGCAUUAAGCACUCCGCCUGGGGAGUACGACCGCAAGGUUGAAACUCAAAGGAAUUGACGGGGGCCCGCACAAGCGGUGGAGCAUGUGGUUUAAUUCGAAGCUACGCGAAGAACCUUACCAGGUCUUGACAUCUUCUGCCAAUCUUAGAGAUAAGACGUUCCCUUCGGGGACAGAAUGACAGGUGGUGCAUGGUUGUCGUCAGCUCGUGUCGUGAGAUGUUGGGUUAAGUCCCGCAACGAGCGCAACCCUUAUUAUCAGUUGCCAGCAUUCAGUUGGGCACUCUGGUGAGACUGCCGGUGACAAACCGGAGGAAGGUGGGGAUGACGUCAAAUCAUCAUGCCCCUUAUGACCUGGGCUACACACGUGCUACAAUGGACGGUACAACGAGUCGCGAAGUCGUGAGGCUAAGCUAAUCUCUUAAAGCCGUUCUCAGUUCGGAUUGUAGGCUGCAACUCGCCUACAUGAAGUUGGAAUCGCUAGUAAUCGCGGAUCAGCAUGCCGCGGUGAAUACGUUCCCGGGCCUUGUACACACCGCCCGUCACACCAUGAGAGUUUGUAACACCCAAAGCCGGUGAGAUAACCUUCGGGAGUCAGCCGUCUAAGGUGGGACAGAUGAUUAGGGUGAAGUCGUAACAAGGUAACC